UUCCAUCAUUAAUUUGAUAACGAUAACCAAUCGAUCGAUCAAUCAAUCAAUCAAUUAAUCAAUGAUGGCUCGUGGUUUCCGUAGCUGGAAUCCUGAUUGUAAAGUAUAUGUUGGUAAUCUUCAAGAUAAUUGUCUGAAAACUGAUGUUGAAAAUGCAUUUUCAAAAUUUGGACCAUUAAAAAAUGUUUGGGUUGCUAGAAAUCCACCUGGUUUUGCAUUUGUUGAAUUUGAAGAUAGUCGUGAUGCUGAAGAUUCGGUUCGUGCAUUAGAUGGAACUCGAAUUGGUGGUAAUCGAGUUCGUGUUGAAAUGUCUCAUGGACGUAGUCGAAGAGGUGGCGGUGGUCGCCGUUUUGGUGGUGGCCCUGGACCAGGUUUUGAUCGCGGCGGUGGUGGUGGUGGUGUUGAUCGCUAUGGUGGACCAAGUAUUCGAAACAAUAGACGUGAUUUUAGACGACGAAGUAUUUCACGAUCUCGUUCAAGGUGAUAUCACCUAAUAUUACCCUUCUACUACUACUACUUGCAUCUAUUACUACCUACACAUCAGUAUUCUCCUUGAUUAUUGUUGAACUACGGUAUUUAACUGAAAAUGAAAUAAAAUAAUGAUGCGGACAACGGUCAGCCGCCGAUGACCGCCAGUUUUUUCGUCAGCAUGCAUCUUUAUAUCCUAUUCAUCGCAUCGAUGUGUGUGCGUGGGAUAAUAUCUAUUCUUUCUGAAUAGGAUUCCCUUCGAUCCGUAUGAUAAUAAUAUUCGGUUCGUCUUUCUAUCAUCAUCAUUGUUAUUGUUGUUUUUUUAAAAAUGCAUCGUAUUUUUCUUCGAAAAAAACAUUAAAGCACUUUUCGGUAUCCCAAAAACAUACAUAAAACAUCUUUAUAACUGAAUUGAAUAAUGAUGUGAUGAAAAUGCGCGUAAAACGAUCAUCAUCCUAAAAAUCAUUUAAAAUUUCCUCGAAACAUAUGACUUGAUAUUUUUUUCCGAUUUUAAAUAUUCGAAUAACAUCAGUGCAGAACAACAAAACAAACAAAAAACUUCGACCCAUUCUAUCUCUUCGAUCAUUUUUUGAAUAGAAUUACGACCGACGAGAAAUUUACCACCACAAAAAACUUCGAUACUUCGAUAUUUGUUCAAGAAAA